GCAUUCGUAGUGUGAAGGUUAGAACACUUGACGCGUAUUCGAGAGGUCCAGGUUCGAGUCCCGGCGAGGGCA
rnacentral:tRNA from 1 species